AUUGAAUUUCACUGAGCACUGAAGAACGACAAUCCUUCGCCAUGAGAGAUCUGCAGAAAACGUGUAAAAUUGUGAGCCUGGAAAGGAAAUGCUCAGAUGGUGUAGAGCAGUUUCUGGGUGUUUUGGAGCAGCGGCUGCACAAUGGCAUCUCUCCCACUGAGCUUUGGGACAAAACCCUCUCGUUCUUCACCCCAAAGAAGACCUUGAUCUUCCACAAUGGAUACUCCAAGUACUCCAGGGAGACGCUUCGGUUGUUUCCAGACUCUGCAGAAGACGUGUCUCCUCUUUGCAUUCAGCAGUGACACAAACAUAUGUUGUGGAAGAGAUGGAAGUUCUUUGGUCAAGUCUUGGUCUUCAGAAUUGCUGAACUGAACUUGGUUUUUCUGCUGGACAUGGAGGCAUGAUUUUUCUGUCUCUUUUUUUAAAAUACAGCAGCAUAUUAAUGAAGAAAAGUCUUUUAUAAAGACAUGAUGUGCAUAAAAACAAAUGGUACCCUAAGGGGGUUUUGUAUUCCAGAAAUGGAUUUAUGAUAGGAUUUGUUGUAAUGCCAACAAUUGUGCGUAAUUGCUUUUGAUGCAAUAUACAGAGAAAAAUGAUAUCAUGAGUUUGCUAAAUGAUAAACCUGACACUAAAGUUAUUUAAGAAUAGAAUAUGUUUGUCUGCUGUUUUAUGCAAUGGAUUGUGUUAGUCUGAAUGCUUAAAUGCAUUUGCUAAUGAUUUAAUCAGAUGUUUGUUAACAAAAUAAAAUUCUUUCCUAAAAUUUG